rnacentral:rRNA from 1 species
AACAAACGCUGGCGGCGUGCCUAACACAUGCAAGUCGUACGAGAAAGUCGGCUUCGGCCGAUGAGUACAGUGGCGCACGGGUGAGUAGCGCGUGGGUAAUCUGCCCCCCGGUCAGGAAUAACCCGCCGAAAGGCGGGCUAAUACCCGAUAACACUGACGCUCCGCGGAGCGUCUUUCAAAGAAGGCCUCUGUUUACAAGCUUUCGCCGGAGGAUGAGCCCGCGUACCAUUAGGUAGUUGGUAGGGUAAUGGCCUACCAAGCCGACGAUCCUUAGCUGGUCUGAGAGGAUGAUCAGCCACACUGGGACUGAGACACGGCCCAGACUCCUACGGGAGGCAGCAGUGGGGAAUAUUGGACAAUGGGCGAAAGCCUGAUCCAGCAAUGCCGCGUGAGUGAUGAAGGCCUUAGGGUUGUAAAGCUCUUUUGUCCGGGAAGAUAAAUGACUGUACCGGAAGAAUAAAGCCCCGGUAACUUCGUG